CCGAUUCCCCCUUUUGUUUUGUCGUCUUCCUCCCAACUUUCCAAAAACAAACCUUAGCUGCCGCUCCUAACAAAGCCCCGUUGCCUCCGUCUCUUUACCAGUUCGGCCACCGUCCGAUUCCCCCUUCCCCUUUCUUCCUCAUCGAACCAUCGCGAUCCUUUCCCCCUUUCCACUGUCCACUACGAGCCUUCCUCUCUUUCCCUUUCUUCCAUGCACGAACUCACACGUCCGUCCCUCUCCCCUUUUUCCUUUUCGCCCCUUU
rnacentral:lncRNA from 1 species